rnacentral:rRNA from 1 species
GAUGAACGCUGGCGGCGUGCUUAACACAUGCAAGUCGAACGAGAAGUGAAGACGGAAACCUUCGGGCGGAAGGCUUUAUUUCGAGUGGCGGACGGGUGAGUAACGCGUGGGUAACCUGCCUCAUACAGGGGGAUAACAGUUGGAAACGACUGUUAAUACCGCAUAAGACCACAGCACCGCAUGGUGCGGGGGUAAAAACUCCGGUGGUAUGAGAUGGACCCGCGUUCGAUUAGCCAGUUGGCGGGGUAACGGCCCACCAAAGCGACGAUCGAUAGCCGAUCUGAGAGGAUGACCGGCCACAUUGGGACUGAGACACGGCCCAAACUCCUACGGGAGGCAGCAGUGGGGAAUAUUGCACAAUGGGGGAAACCCUGAUGCAGCGACGCCGCGUGAGUGAAGAAGUAUUUCGGUAUGUAAAGCUUUAUCAGCAGGGAAGAAAAUGACGGUACCUGAGGAAGAAGCCCCGGCUAACUACGUG